rnacentral:pre_miRNA from 1 species
CCUCGAAGAUGAUGGUGAUGAUGAUGAUGAUGAUGAUGAUGGUGAUAAUAAUAACUACCAUCAUCACCAUCAUCACCAUCAUCACCAUCAUCACCAUCACCAUCAUCAUCAUCAUCAUCAUCAUCAUCAUCAUCU